GGCAAAGCAGCCACAAUACUGAAGUCUCAGCCCAGUACAGACAGGGAGGAUGAUAACAUCCUUACAGCUUCAUGGACAGAGUCCUGGCUUCAGCUAACCUUCCAGUCUCCCAGCACUGCCCAAGAACAGAAGGGCCACAUGCAACUAGGGCAGAAUUGCAUACAGCUGUCUGAAAUCAGGUGCGAGGCCCAGGAUCCCCACCACUCCCUCCUACUGUGAAUAAGUAUCAGCGGCCCUUGGAAUCAACCUAGUCCAUCUUGGAGAUGACUUUUGCAAAACACGAAGCCAUUUUGAACGGAGACAGAUGGCAGUUAAAUGAAGUUUAAUUAAAGAAUGAGCG
rnacentral:lncRNA from 1 species